rnacentral:rRNA from 1 species
GACGGAGGGGGCAAGCGUUGUUCGGAAUUAUUGGGCGUAAAGAGCGUGUAGGCGGCUCGAUAAGUCCGCUCUGAAAGCCCGGGGCUCAACCCCGGGAGGCGGGCGGAUACUGUCGAGCUAGAGUCCGGAAGAGGCGAGUGGAAUUCCUGGUGUAGCGGUGAAAUGCGCAGAUAUCAGGAGGAACACCAAUGGCGAAGGCAGCUCGCUGGGACGGUACUGACGCUGAGACGCGAAAGCGUGGGGAGCAAACAGG